rnacentral:misc_RNA from 1 species
GAAAUGCGAUAAGUAAUGUGAAUUGCAGAAUUCAGUGAAUCAUCGAAUCUUUGAACGCACAUUGCGCCCCCUGGUAUUCCAGGGGGCAUGCCUGUUCGAGCGUCAUUUCACCACUCAAGCCUCGCUUGGUAUUGGGCAACGCGGUCCGCCGCGUGCCUCAAAUCGACCGGCUGGGUCUUCUGUCCCCUAAGCGUUGUGGAAACUAUUCGCUAAAGGGUGCUCGGGAGGCUACGCCGUAAAACAAACCCAUUUCUAAGGUUGACCUCGGAUCAGGUAGGGAUACCCGCUGAACUUAAGC